AUGUGAGUGUGAAUGUUGUCUGUCUAUCUGUGUUGGCCCUGCGAUGAGGUGGCGACUUGUCCAGGGUGUACGCCGCCUUCCGCCCGAUUGUAGCUGAGAUAGGCUCCAGUGCCCCCUGCUACCCUGAAGGGAAUAAGCGGUAGAAAAUGGAUGGAUAUAUACAUACAUACAUAGAAAGACUUGGAGCAGUGUCAACACAUUGGCAGAACUUGGAAUUGCCAUUAGGACCCUGCUAGCAAACACUGGGGACUUUAAAAUGGUGCUGUUGUUCAGGGUCACAGCCACUAGAGGGAGCCAUCUAACCAUGUUCAAGUCUAUUUAGAUGUCUAUUGUGUAUAUUUUUAGUAAGUAGUGACAUUUAAAGCCUUAAAAGCUUCAAUUAGAUUAGCAAAUAAUCCAAACUAAAACGAACAAACAACAUCUUGGUUAGGGCUACAAAAAUCCUAUUGGGUGUACUUUUUCUAAUGAACAUUGUUUUUCUUUACUGCACUAUGCUGCUUUUUACUGUGUGUGUGUGUGUGUGUGUGUGUGUGUGUGUGUGUGUGUGUGUGUGUGUGUGUGUGUGUGUGUGUGUGUGUGUGUGUGUGUGUGUGUGUGUGUGUGUGUGUGUGUGUGUGUGUGUGUGUGAGAGAGAGAGAAAGGUAAAUCAUGAUGGCAGAAGGUUUAUUAGUGUCUGCUUUACAAGUACAAUCUAUUUACAGCGAGCGGUAUUAGAAAAAACUAGAUUCCAGUUCUGCACAAUAACCAUGGGGGCGGUGCGUCGUCGUGGCAACAGAGAGAGCGAGCCAAUGCUAGGCGGUAAAAGGACCUGCAUCUUCACUGCUGAUUAUGAUGCCUUUUAUUUUGAAAUCCACAUGACUUUCCUGUUCAGUUGGCCAGUCGCAGGUGGUAGGUGACCAUGUGGAAGUUGUCCCAGGCAAACAGCUUCCUCUGCUGGUGGUUGUAGUCCACCAUGCUGUUGUAACCGUACUGGUUCUUGAACGGCACCGAGAUGGCCCGGCUGGCCCGGGUGGCGGUGUCGUAGACGUGGUUGAGGGUGGUGUUGGCGGCGGUGUAGCUGGCCACCGUGUACAGACGCCCACACGCCAUGAAGGCGUUGGCCGCCGUGUUCUUCCUGAUGUUGGUCUCCCAGCUCUUCUUCACCUCCAGGCUCUCAGGGUCCAGCUGGGAGAGCACAAUGCUGCCUUUGGCUUUGCUGGUGCUGUAGAUGGCCCACAGAGCCCGCUCGUCCACCGCCAGGUCGAUGUCGGUGUAGCCCCCCCAGGAGUAGGGGUACUGGCCGUGGAAGCCUGCGUGAGGUAGGUCCCGGCGUGAUGCCAGGCUCUCGGAGGCCACGUCAUAGCGGAUGAGAGUACGGCUGCGUUUGCGCUGGUAGUAGAGCGAGCCGCGGUACAUGGUUGCACCCGUGCUCUCCACGGGUUCCGGCAGGACAAACACUUUCAUGGGGAAACCACGAGAAAACUGGUCCAUGUCUUCGUACGCAAACAGCUGACGGACAUCUUUGCCCACCGUGUCGAUACGCCACACCGUCUUGUUGGUGUACUGCGUGCCUCGGGGCUCAGGAUCCUGUAGCCACACUCCGUACUUCCCUGUGAUACCGUCGGCCUUCCUAUGCAACACCGGAUCUCCCACCGACAACACCUCACCACAACCUGAAGGAAGGCACAUUUUUGCAACGUGGUACUUUGGGUUUGAAGUAUCCGAGGGCGUCAACUUACCCGAGACAUUUCCACCAGGAAGGAGGCGGGAUGCUGGGACCUCUGUGACCUCAGCCUUCAUCUCCUGCAGGUUCCGUCUUACACUGUCGUGGCUUUCCUGAAAAUGAGGCACGUAAACAAGCCUGAGUGACAAAGUCAUAAAGGAAACAUUCCAAUGGCGUUACACAACCCGAGGCCAUGACUGCAACCUGAGCCGUCCCCCUUCAGAGACGUCAUAGUCUCUGCCUGAGGCCGUCCGUCUCCUGACUGAGCUCUCUCACCCUCGCCUGGAGGUCCUGGACCUGUCUCUUCAGACGGUCCUUGUCUUGGCGCAGCUGGUUUCUUUCCCCUGUCAGCUGGGAAAAACCUUCCUGGAAGCCCACCUCAACGUCAGCUCCCAUCUCUCUCCUCGCGAUCAGGCGGCUGACCAGAGCCUCCAGCGAGGUGAGCCGAGACAGAACUCCUUCCGUCUCGGCUCUCCCGCUGCAGCCCGACUCCUGCGGGCUGGGGACGGUGAAGGUGUACUGGCAACGUCCCGCAGCAUCGUUAGCGUGACGCAGGGAUGCCUGGUCUUCAGCCUGGAGUUGACUGACCAACGUGAGGAAGGUCAGACCCAGAAGAGCCGCUUGGAGCCACAUUCUGCAGGUUUUUUAAAGUUACUACCCCUGAAAAGGAUUCUUCUACCUUCCGGGUCAGUGCAGUCUGUAUCCCAGCCCUGCUGAGAGGGAUAUUUAUACGGUCACAGGGUGGGAGGAGUACGUGCCAAGCAGCCCAGGGGUGUGGGCAGUCCGUACAGAGCCCGGUCGCUAACAAACAACGUGGAAAAACACACCACUUGAUUUUGUUUACCCUGUGGUUGCGUCUCAGCAGGGGGUGACGUCCUUGCACGGGAUAUUUUGACUGGACAGCAUCCUUGAUGUUGUUGACUUCCUCCGUAAGUGAUAGUUUUACACUGCCACUUAAUGGCGGUUAAUGAGCGCUAUGGUUCGACUUCGGGGCUGGAGGGGUAAGUGUUUAGGACUCUGUCAACAUGCAGCCACAACGUGUUGACCCAGAUUGUGCUUCCAGACAUCCCAAUGAAGGCCGGCUGCCAGACACGGGUGCUCCUGUUCAUUGUUCUUCCAACCCAACCAUGAACUUUUCACAACGUCCAAUUAGUAUCCCGUCUAAAGUUGUUUUUGUCGUCCUCUCUGCUCACACACCCAUCAUUGGCAGACACUUUAUGAUCGUAUUGGUAGACAAUCUUUAAUGUCCACUAUCCAUUGGUUAGUUGGUUGGUUCCAUUAACGGAGUCAUCAGAUACACUACCAAAAUAAACAUGUUUCUUCUCCCAGUAACCUUCAUUCUUUUUCACUUCACGCCAACAGUGAAAUUGCACGUUUUAUUUCAGUGUAUUGAAAAACAAAAAUCAUUUAUAAAAAAGUAAUUAUCUACCGUUUGUCACCCCAAGGAUCAUGGCAUCCACACGCCACCGCUCUCAUGUUCACUCUCCGUACGGAAACUAAUGUCUGCGUGUUUCAAGUUCCGGCCAUUUUAAAAAUGAUUAGUUAAACUUUUAAACGGCUAAUGGAAGCAAUGGGAUAUCAAUUGAAGCUUUUUUCAAUCAAAGGGAUGGAUUAGUUAUUGUAGCCCUAAGGUCGACUAUUAGGGGUGCUCAAACAAAUUGAUUAACAAUCAAAUAGUCAACAUUUUUUUAUUCCGAUUCAAAAUCAAAUCAUAGUUGUCAAAAAUCAAUCAAAAACCAAAACAUUUGCACAACCGCGUGUGAAAGUGUCAGGCAGUGUUGCUUCCUCAGUCUUCCCUUUUUUAGCAGUUUAUAUUUAUUUGUAUUUACAUCUUUUUAAAGAAGCAACCUCAAAACAAAUUAAACGCUUUUUAGGCCAAGAGCAGCGUUUUGUAACCUGCUUUGAAAAGGUUUUAUCAUCAUGUUCAUACCAAAUGUCAUAUUGUGAGAAUUGACUACACUCAAGAAUUGUCUUGAAUCCAUUUUGAAUCCCAUUGAUCAGAAUCACAUCUAGUGGUUGUAACAUUUCAUCCCUAGCCACCUAAAAACCAUUAGUCAGACUACCAG